UGGGGAAUAUUGCACAAUGGGGGAAACCCUGAUGCAGCGACGCCGCGUGGAGGAAGAAGGUCUUCGGAUUGUAAACUCUUGUUGUUGAGGAAGAUAAUGACGGUACUCAACAAGGAAGUGACGGCUAACUACGUGCCAGCAGCCGCGGUAAAACGUAGGUCACAAGCGUUGUCCGGAAUUACUGGGUGUAAAGGGAGCGCAGGCGGGAAGACAAGUUGGAAGUGAAAUCUAUGGGCUCAACCCAUAAACUGCUUUCAAAACUGUUUUUCUUGAGUAGUGCAGAGGUAGGCGGAAUUCCCGGUGUAGCGGUGGAAUGCGUAGAUAUCGGGAGGAACACCAGUGGCGAAGGCGGCCUACUGGGCACCAACUGACGCUGAGGCUCGAAAGUGUGGGUAGCAAACAGGAUUAGAUACCCUGGUAGUCCACACCGUAAACGAUGAUUACUAGGUGUUGGAGGAUUGACCCCUUCAGUGCCGCAGUUAACACAAUAAGUAAUCCACCUGGGGAGUACGACCGCAAGGUUGAAACUCAAAGGAAUUGACGGGGGCCCGCACAAGCAGUGGAGUAUGUGGUUUAAUUCGACGCAACGCGAAGAACCUUACCAAGUCUUGACAUCCCUUGACGAACAUAGAAAUAUGUUUUCUCUUCGGAGCAAGGAGACAGGUGGUGCAUGGUUGUCGUCAGCUCGUGUCGUGAGAUGUUGGGUUAAGUCCCGCAACGAGCGCAACCCUUAUUGCCAGUUACUACGUAAGAGGACUCUGGCGAGACUGCCGUUGACAAAACGGAGGAAGGUGGGGAUGACGUCAAAUCAUCAUGCCCCUUAUGACUUGGGCUACACACGUGCUACAAUGGCGUAAACAAAGGGAAGCGGAGCCGUGAGGCCGAGCAAAUCUCAAAAAUAACGUCUCAGUUCGGACUGUAGUCUGCAACCCGACUACACGAAGCUGGAAUCGCUAGUAAUCGCAGAUCAGAAUGCUGCGGUGAAUACGUUCCC
rnacentral:rRNA from 1 species